AUUGCUAGGCAGUUGCUAACAUAUUCCACAUGGUUGCUAAGUGGUUGCUAGGUGGUUGCUAAGCAGUUGCUAACGUUUUCCAAGUGGUGGCUAAAGUGUAGCUAACUGGUUGCUAGGAAGUUGCUAACGUUUUCCAAGUGGUUGCUAGGCAGUUGCUAAGUGGUUGCUAGGCAGUUGCUAACAUUUUCCAGGUGGUUGCUAAGUGGUUGCUAGGUAGUUGCUAACAUAUUCCAGGUGGUGGCUAGGCAGCUGCUAAGUGGUUGCUAGGCAGUUGCUAACGUUUUCCAGGUGGUUGCUAAGUGGUUGCUAGGCAGUUGCUAUAAUUUCUAAAGUGGUUGCUAAGUGGUUGCUAGGCAGUUGCUAACGUUUUCCUAGUGGUUGCUAUGGUAUUGUUAAGUGGUUGCUAGGCAGUUGCUAUCAUUUCUAAAGUGGUUCCUAAGUGGUUGCUAUGCAGUUGCUAACGUUUUAAUAGUGGUUGCUAAGGUGUUGCUAGGCAGUUGCUAUUAUUUCUAAAGUGGUUGCUAGGCAGUUGCUAUCGUUUUCCUAGUGGUUGUUAAGGUGUUGCUAAGUGGUUGCUAGGCAGUUGCUAUCAUUUCUAAAGUGCUUGCUAGGCAGUUGCUAACGUUUUUCCAAUGGUUGUUAAGGUGUUGCUAAGUGGUUGCUAGGCAGUUGCUUUCGUUUCUAAAGUGGUUGCUAAGUGGUUGCUAGGCAGUUGCUAACGUUUUCCAGGUGGUUGCUAAGUGGUUGCUAGGCAGUUGCUAACAUUUUCCAGGUGGUUGCUAGGCAGUUGCUAAGUGGUUGCUAGGCAGUUGCUAACGUUUUCCAAGUGGUUGCUAGGCAGUUGCUAAGUGGUUGCUAGGCAGUUGCUAACAUUUUCCAGGUGGUUGCUAAGUGGUUGCUAGGUAGUUGCUAACAUAUUCCAGGUGGUUGCUAGGCAGCUGCUAAGUGGUUGCUAGGCAGUUGCUUACGUUUUCCAGGUGGUUGCUAAGUGGUUGCUAGGCAGUUGCUAACGUUUUCCAGGUGGUUGCUAGGCAGUUGCUAAGUGGUUGCUAGGCAGUUGCUAACGUUUUCCAAGUGGUUGCUAGGCAGUUGCUAAGUGGUUGCUAGGCAGUUGCUAACGUUUUCCAGGUGGUUGCUAAGUGGUUGCUAGGCAGUUGCUAACGUUUUCCAGGUGGUUGCUAGGCAGUUGCUAAGUGGUUGCUAGGCAGUUGCUAACGUUUUCCAAGUGGUUGCUAGGCAGUUGCUAAGUGGUUGCUAGGCAGUUGCUAACGUUUUCCAGGUGGUUGCUAAGUGGUUGCUAGGCAGUUGCUAACGUUUUCCAGGUGGUUGCUAAGCAGUUAAUAGGUGGUUGCAAAGCCCUGGCUGGGGUGCCGG